UUAUAUAUUUUGGGGCUGGGUGGUGGAUAGUGUGGGCUUUUAUAUAUUUUGGGGCUGGGUGGUGGACUGUAUGGGCUUUUAUAUAUUUUGGGGCUGGGUGGUGGAUUGUGUGGCCUUUUAUAUAUUUUGGGGCUGGGAGGUGGAAUGCGUGGGCUUUUAUAUAUUUUGGGGCUGGGUGGUGGACUGUGUGGGCUUUUAUAUAUUUUGGGGCUGGGUGGUGGAUUGUGUGGGCUUUUAUAUAUUUUGGGGCUGGGAGGUGCAAUGUGUGGGCUUUUAUAUAUUUUGGGGCUGGGAGGUGGAAUGUGUGGGCUUUUAUAUAUUUUGGGGCUGGGUGGACUUUUAUGCAUUCUUUUACAGUCCCUUGAUCCGGGAUUGCACAUGCUUGUAGAUGGUGGAUCAGGUAAAUUCCCUGCUAUAAAGCCCACCUUAUCGCUACUCAUUUCU
rnacentral:lncRNA from 1 species